rnacentral:rRNA from 1 species
CUACGGGCCGCUGCAGUGAGGAAUAUUGCACAAUGGGGGAAACCCUGAUGCAGCAACGCCGCGUGGAGGAUGACGCAUUUCGGUGUGUAAACUCCUUUUAUCAGAGAAGAAAAUGACGGUAUCUGAUGAAUAAGCUCCGGCUAACUCCGUGCCAGCAGCCGCGGUAAUACGGAGGGAGCAAGCGUUAUUCGGAAUCACUGGGCGUAAAGGACGCGUAGGCGGGUUUUUAAGUCAGGUGUGAAAUCCUAUGGCUCAACCAUAGAACUGCACUUGAAACUGGGGACCUAGAGUAUGGAAGGGGCAGGUGGAAUUAGUGGUGUAGGGGUAAGAUCCGUAGAUAUCACUAGGAAUACCGAAAGCGAAGGCGACCUGCUGGGACAUUACUGACGCUGAGGCGUGAAAGCAUGGGGAGCAAACAGGAUUAGAUACCCUAGUAGUC